rnacentral:rRNA from 1 species
GUAGGUGGCAAGCGUUGUCCGGAAUUAUUGGGCGUAAAGUGUGUGUAGGUGGUUCUUUAAGUCUGAUGUGAAAGCCCACGGCUCAACCGUGGAGGGUCAUUGGAAACUGGAGAACUUGAGUACAGAAGAGGAAAGCGGAAUUCCACGUGUAGCGGUGAAAUGCGUAGAGAUGUGGAGGAACACCAGUGGCGAAGGCGGCUUUCUGGUCUGUAACUGACGCUGAGGCGCGAAAGCGUGGGGAGCAAACAGGGAUUAGAUACCCUGGUAGUCCACGCCGUAAACGAUGAGUGCUAAGUGUUAGGGGGUUUCCGCCCCCUUAGUGCUGCAGCUAACGCAUUAAGCACUCCGCCUGGGGAGUACGGCCGCAAGGCUG